GUCCACGCCGUAAACGAUGUCAACUAGCUGUCUGUGUUCUUGAAACGUGGGUAGCGUAGCUAACGCGCUAAGUUGACCGCCUGGGGAGUACGGCCGCAAGGUUAAAACUCAAAUGAAUUGACGGGGGCCCGCACAAGCGGUGGAGCAUGUGGUUUAAUUCGAUGCAACGCGAAGAACCUUACCAUCCCUUGACAUCCAGAGAAUUUUCUAGAGAUAGAUUAGUGCCUUCGGGAACUCUGAGACAGGUGCUGCAUGGCU
rnacentral:rRNA from 1 species